GCUCGUCGAUUAUUCUCCAAAUAUGUGAAUUUAAUAUUUAAUGGUAGUUGUUAAUUAUUAAUUAAGGUUGAGGUUUGCGUAGAAUUAUUUGUAGGAGUGUAUUUUGCUUAAGAAAUAUAUUAGUGGGACUCAUUUAAAAAAUAAAAAAUAAAAAAUACUUAACGGUGUUAAGUGUCCGUUAAGAGCAGAGGGCAUAUUGCACUCUUUAUGAGAUGUUGAGGGGCUAACAGCCCAAAAUCAAAAGAUAUGGAGGUAAAUAUGUUAGGGGGUUAUUUGCUACUUUUUCCUUUUUUUUAUUAUAGUAUUCAUUAUUUUAUUUUUUUAUUCCUUAUUUUCAAUUUCAUUUAUAUCUUAUAUUUUUUGUUCUUUGUACUAUAUUUUUAUAACAUAAUCGAACAACAUGAUCAGUGUAUAAUAUUAUAAUACAUUAUUAUCCUAAUUAUAUUCCUUUCAAUUUUAUAAUUCAUAAUGUUAAUUUCACU
rnacentral:lncRNA from 1 species